UUGGACCUGAUAUCAGACAAGACUACCC
rnacentral:rRNA from 9 species